AGUUACUGGCUGUAGGUCUUUAAGCUGCUGUGCAACUUCUUGUCACACACUCAUGACAAAUGGAGUGUUGCAUUGCAUCCGCACUCUGGUGUCUUAUACCACUGUAUUUACUCGUUCACCUUUUGUGCUUCAUGUUCGCGGACGCAGACUUCACUCUGCUGUGGGCGAGUGUGACCGGACACCGUCCAGAGACCAAGCUGAAAAGCCUGGUGGUGUGGGUCACCGGAGCUUCCAGUGGUAUUGGAGAGGAACUGGCCCACCAGUUGGCCAGGUGUGGAUCACGUCUCAUCCUGUCUGCUCGACGUGAGGAUGAGCUAAACCGGGUGAAACAUCGCUGUUUAGAUUGCUCCAACCUCCAGGAUGAAGAUAUUCUUGUUCUUCCACUUGAUUUGUUGGAGAGGACAUCGCAUGAGGAAAAAGCAAAAACUGCAAUCCAAUACUUUGGACAUAUUGACAUACUUAUUAACAAUGGCGGCCGAAGCCAACGCUCGUUGUGCCUGGAGACUAGUGUUGACGUGUACCAGGCCUUGAUGGAGCUAAACUUCCUGGGCACGGUCUCCAUCACCAAGAAGGUGCUGCCUCACAUGACGCGUCGAGGAAGUGGGAGCAUCGUGACCGUCAGCAGCCUGGCUGGCCUUGCUGGGGUGCCCCUGUCGACAGGAUACUCUGCCAGCAAACACGCUCUUCAGGGUUUCUUUAAUUCCCUUCGAAAUGAACUGACUGACUCUCCAAACAUACUCAUCAGCACAGUGUGUCCGGGGCCUGUGCAGUCACAGAUUGUCCACAACGCGUUCACAGAGGAGCUAAACAAGUGUCAAGGAAAUGUGGAUCGCACAACAGCCCUUCCUCCUGUUCUACUACGCCUGGCAGUACGCUCCCACAUUUGCCUGGCUCCUAACGAACUUGAUGAGCAGGAAAAGGGUGCAGAACUUCAAAGCUGGUCUGCCUUGCCGUUGCACCCGUUGUGGCUGACCUUCCUCCUUUGGCACUGUUUGGAUGGACUGAGAGCACUUGAAUGGAGCAGAAUGUGGCGAGACACAAAGCAGAGCUGUCUCUGAACAGCUGGGGGGCCUCAGCUGUUGCUGACCUUGCUUGAGUCGAAUAAGAAGACGGUGGCCAGGGAUGCCGACUCUGCAUACUUCACUAAGGCCAAGACCCACUGAGAGUCUCUUCCUGAAGGGGAACUAAAUACAUUGCAUUCCUUAUGUUUGACCUAGAUAGUCAGCUGUGUUUUACAUGCUCUCUUCUGAAAUGUAAAGUAAGUCCUAUAUCUACAUCCUUAAAUCAAGUGUGAACAUGUGGUAGAGAGUCUAUAUGAAUUUAUUUAUAACCUAAGGGCUUACCACUAUAUGUAAGAAUGAUGAAAUACUUGUGUUAAGCUGUUGAAUGGCUAAUAAAAUUCCUGUUUGAAGCA